UAAAUGCGCAUUGAAGUGUAAAUUUUUUUUGUAAAUUAGCUGCAAAUUAUAUUGUUUACAAACUUUAGGAGUAACUGAUUUUAUAUAUGUCCUUCACUUUAUCGUUUGACUUGCCACACUCUCACAACUCAGACGUUCAUAAACUUGUUGGCAAAGACUUCCACCAAUUACAAGUUCAUGAAGGAGUGGAUGAUAUGUGAUGAGUUUUCAUAUUUGAGCUCCUAUCUCUCCCUUGGCGAUAGUAACGACCCACAUUCUCAUUAAAAAUAGUGAAUUAACAAUUCAACGAGUUAUUUGCAUACACUAUUUAGUUGUUUUAGCAAACAAUUAAUGUGAAUGUCACAACCAAUUUGUUUUGAAAAAAACAGGUACUGAACGAAAAGUCGAAAUUGUAAAUGUGUACAUUCUCUACUGGAACAUCCAAGGUAAACAUGGGGCUUCAAUAUCACUUGUGUGAAUCUGGAAAGUAUUCUAGUGUGAUUUAUUUCCCAUCAUGAUAUUGCAAUUAAUAAACAUUUAAAACAU